rnacentral:rRNA from 1 species
GACGAACGCUGGCGGCGUGCCUAAUACAUGCAAGUAGGACGCAGUUGCGAAUGGGUGAGUAACGCGUAGGUAACUACCUAUUAGAGGGGGAUAACUAUUGGAAACGAUAGCUAAUACCGCAUACUAGUAGAUGGACCUGCGUUGUAGUAGCUAGUAGGUAGGGGAAUGGCCUACCUAGGCAACGAUACAUAGCCGACCUGAGAGGGUGAUCGGCCAAACUGGGACGGAAACACGGCCCAGACUCCUACGGGAGGGAGCAGGAGGGAAUUUUUGGCAAAGGGGGGAACCCUGACCGAGCAACGCCGCGGGGGUGAAGAAGGUUUUCGGAUCGUAAAGAUCUGUUGUUAAGGAAGCGGUACUUAACCAGAAAGGGACGGCUAACUACGUGCCAGCAGCCGCGGUAAUUC